CCCUGGUUAGGUCAGUUAUUAGAGCGCUCUACUAGGAAUGGAGAGGUCCGGGGUUCGAUACCUGGACCAGGCG
rfam:Ixodes scapularis strain Wikel colony gcontig_1108378956004, whole genome shotgun sequence.